rnacentral:misc_RNA from 1 species
ACUGGCAAAGGUUUAGGUUUUUUUUGGCGAUUUUCCCAUUGUAAAAGCUAUAUUAGUAAUGGUAUCUCAUUUUCCUAGUUCUCUACAACAUUAUAUGGGCAUGUCAUAUUUUUCUAUAUUAUUAUUAAUUUUUGUACAUUCAACAAAAGCUCCAGUGAUGUAAUUGUUUUAUGUGCAUUGGAAUCUGUCUGGAUGAUAUGGAAUUCCAUGCUUUUCUUUCCCAGGACUUGUUAAUUCAG